AAGUCGUAACAAGGUUUCCGUAGGUGAACCUGCGGAAGGAUCAUUAACCUUUCAAAACAGGGUGCGUCGCGGCCCCCGAGGUGCGGAAACAAGCCUCGAGCGGUUUGGGGUCCUCCCCUUCACGCGCGCACGACUGCCAUCCUUACUUUACGAGCACCUUCUGUUCUCCCUCGGCGGGGGCAACCUGCCGUUGGAACCGAAUAAACUCUUUUUGCAUCUAGCAUUACCUGUUCCGAAACAAACAAUCGUUACAA
rnacentral:misc_RNA from 1 species